CUUCCUGUUGCCGCCAAGGACUACCCUGCCUAUUUGUCUGGAUCAUAAGGAUGCUGACUACAGACUGAACAGGACAUGAAGCUUCCUGGCUGGACUUGGACUGAGGAUACCUGUGCUAUGUGCUUUCACCUUUUCACCCUGUUCCCCUUCCGAAAAAGUGGUUUCUUGGCUGCUACCCUUCCACAAAGACCAUUCUUGAUCAAGCUUCUUCUGGCUGUAGAAGAGUCAACUUAGCAUCCCGAUAAAGCUGCCAGAUGCUGAG